rnacentral:lncRNA from 1 species
ACUCGAAUCUCAGAGUCCGAAAACGGUUCUCUGACUUUUGCCUUGUGUUCCACUGAGAGUCGACUCUCACUUUCUUUGGAGUCGACCUGCCAACCAUCGGAGUCGACUCGCGUUCCACAGGAGUCGACUCGAAUCUCAGGGUCGAAAUUCGCUCUCUGACUUUUCUGUCUGUAACUCCUUGGAGUCGACUCAUACUACUCCGGAGUCGACUCGCGCACUUCAGGAGUCGACUCGCUGAUAGGUUUUGAGUUGAUGCUUUCUGCUCGUCUGUCUGUUCUCAGUCGGAGUCGACUCGUAAUGAUCCGGAGUCGACUCGAACCCGUGCCAGUGAUUCUGAUACGCUUGGAGUCGACUCGUAAUAUCCUGGAGUCGACUCAAGUCUCAGACUUUGGUUCAAACUGACUUCAUACCUUAUCCAAAAUAUCUUGAACCAAGUCUAGAAACACUUAGACACGAUUUUCACUGAAACACUUAAUUGAAUUUAUUAGUAAACAUAAGAUAUACUCAAAUGCUUUGAGCUCAUCAAAAUCAAAUAGGGUUAUGAUCAAUCACUCCACAAUCUCCUCCUUUUUGAUGAUGACAAAACAUUGAGUAUAUGUAAAGUGAAUUGCUCAAUAAACAAGGAAAUAAAAUCCAUAAAUGAAUUCAAGUGUGUAGUUAUUUGAUUUAUCCAAUCUUGAAAGGUGUGAAACAAUAAAUUUUGGAGUUAAAGCUCCCCCUUUCAUUUGGAAUUAUAUAAGCCUUCAUAUCAUGCAAUCAAUUGUUUGGCUUAUAUAUAUUUAAUGAUUUAGCUUUCUUAAAAAUUCAGAUUCUCCCCCUCAACAUAUGCAUUCAACUUUGUUUUGAUUCUCUGAAUUUUCUUUUAAUGCAUUGAAGUUUUUGAACUGAAAUUUUUGGUUUUUAGAGG